AGAGUUUGAUCCUGGCUCAGGACGAACGCUGGCGGCGUGCCUAAUACAUGCAAGUCGAGCGGACAGAUGGGAGCUUGCUCCCUGAUGUUAGCGGCGGACGGGUGAGUAACACGUGGGUAACCUGCCUGUAAGACUGGGAUAACUCCGGGAAACCGGGGCUAAUACCGGAUGGUUGUUUGAACCGCAUGGUUCAAACAUAAAAGGUGGCUUCGGCUACCACUUACAGAUGGACCCGCGGCGCAUUAGCUAGUUGGUGAGGUAACGGCUCACCAAGGCAACGAUGCGUAGCCGACCUGAGAGGGUGAUCGGCCACACUGGGACUGAGACACGGCCCAGACUCCUACGGGAGGCAGCAGUAGGGAAUCUUCCGCAAUGGACGAAAGUCUGACGGAGCAACGCCGCGUGAGUGAUGAAGGUUUUCGGAUCGUAAAGCUCUGUUGUUAGGGAAGAACAAGUACCGUUCGAAUAGGGCGGUACCUUGACGGUACCUAACCAGAAAGCCACGGCUAACUACGUGCCAGCAGCCGCGGUAAUACGUAGGUGGCAAGCGUUGUCCGGAAUUAUUGGGCGUAAAGGGCUCGCAGGCGGUUUCUUAAGUCUGAUGUGAAAGCCCCCGGCUCAACCGGGGAGGGUCAUUGGAAACUGGGGAACUUGAGUGCAGAAGAGGAGAGUGGAAUUCCACGUGUAGCGGUGAAAUGCGUAGAGAUGUGGAGGAACACCAGUGGCGAAGGCGACUCUCUGGUCUGUAACUGACGCUGAGGAGCGAAAGCGUGGGGAGCGAACAGGAUUAGAUACCCUGGUAGUCCACGCCGUAAACGAUGAGUGCUAAGUGUUAGGGGGUUUCCGCCCCUUAGUGCUGCAGCUAACGCAUUAAGCACUCCGCCUGGGGAGUACGGUCGCAAGACUGAAACUCAAAGGAAUUGACGGGGGCCCGCACAAGCGGUGGAGCAUGGUGGUUAAUUCGAAGCAACGCGAAGAACCUUACCAGGUCUUGACAUCCUCU
rnacentral:rRNA from 1 species